UUUAUUUUGUUUUUCUUACGU
rnacentral:piRNA from 1 species